rnacentral:tRNA from 1 species
AUAAGUCAUCGGUUCAAAUCCGAUAAAGGGCU